UACGGGGGGGGCAAGCGUUGUUCGGAAUUACUGGGCGUAAAGGGCUCGUAGGUGGCCAACUAAGUCAGACGUGAAAUCCCUCAGCUUAACUGGGGAACUGCGUCUGAUACUGGAUGGCUUGAGUUUGGGAGAGGGAUGCAGAAUUCCAGGUGUAGCGGUGAAAUGCGUAGAUAUCUGGAGGAAUACCGGUGGCGAAGGCGGCAUCCUGGACCGGCAUUGACGCUGAUGAGCGAAAGCUAGGGGAGCAAACGGG
rnacentral:rRNA from 1 species